rnacentral:rRNA from 1 species
UGCGGAGGAUGCGAGCGUUAUCCGGAUUUAUUGGGUUUAAAGGGUGCGUAGGCGGAUCGUUAAGUCAGUGGUCAAAUUGAGGGGCUCAACCCCUUCCCGCCAUUGAAACUGGCGAUCUUGAGUGGAAGAGAAGUACGCGGAAUGCGUGGUGUAGCGGUGAAAUGCAUAGAUAUCACGCAGAACCCCGAUUGCGAAGGCAGCAUGCCGGCUUCCUACUGACGCUGAAGCACGAAAGCGUGGGGAUCGAACAGG